GAGUGGUGGCGGAAAGCGGCGAACGGGUGAGUAACACGUGGGUAAUGUGCCCUGAACAUCGGGAUAACAGCGGGAAACCGCUGCUAAUACCGAAUAACCCUGCAACGUCGCAUGACGAAGCAGGCAAAGUUCCGGCGGUUCAGGAUCAGCCCGCGGUGUAUCAGCUUGUUGGUGGGGAAACGGCCUACCAAGGCUUUGACGCAUAGCUGGCGUGANAGCGCGACCAGCCACACUGGGACUGAGACACGGCCCAG
rnacentral:rRNA from 1 species